CAAUCCAAAUCUGAUUUUCUUAAAGACAAAAUACCCAUCAUGGGUAUGUACAAGUUUUACCGGAUUAAUCCAUCUUCAGUUUCUCUUUUCCAUUGUCGAGACAACUCUCAAAGGAAGAAAAAUAAAUCCCAAAACCUAAAAUGAGAAUUCAAUACCGAAAAUAUAGAUAUGAGAAUCAAAUAAACACAUCAAGCAAGUAGUAGGUUCAGUUGAAAUCAAAUUGAAUAACCUAAAUCAUCGUCAGCAGUAUUAGUUCAUGAAGAACAAUUCAGAAAUGAAAGAAAAGGUUGAGGAGAAUCGAUGCAGAAAACCAAAUUUAAGAUUUCAUCAGCUAUUGGAAGAUUCGUAUACACAGGAUCAGUUGACGUGACAUUAGACAUGGCGCAAGAUCUCCUCGGAGCUGCAGAUCAGUAUCUUCUGGCCGGGCUUAAGCGUCUUUGUGAAUAUGCAAUUGCACAGGAUGUAACUUUGGAAAUGUCUCAACCUUGUACGAGCUAUCGGAGAACUUCCAUGUAAUGUCAUUGAGGGACAUAUGCAUCCUUUUCAUUCUGGAGCACUUCGAAAAAAUUGAGUGAGAGGCCAGGGCAUGCUCAUCUCAUCCAAUGUAUAAUCCCAGAGAUCCGCGACUACUUUACUAAAGCACUAGCUUACUCAGAUUCUACUGAAUUCCUGAAACGUCAAUUCUAGUGUAGUAUGUUUCAGAGAAUGCAUGUAUGCUAUUCCUUUUUUUUUUUUUUUUUACAAUGACAUUAUAUGGUAUCUAAUUAUUUUUAUCGUUUGUAUACCGGGAAAACUUGAUUGCUACAGUUACACUAUUGUGGAUGUAAACACCACCUGGAGUGGAGCAAGUCGUGGAUCAUAAGGGAAUACGUCCCCGUAUGACCUCUAUUGGUGUUUGCAAACCCGCCCUUCCUUAUCAUCGAUACGUAUACAUGUGAGCCAAUAGAUGUAAAGAUGUUGGUAGUAAUGUAAUGUCUGAUUCUUGUCUGCUAUUGAGCAUUUAUUUCAUUAUCAGUAUUCGGAUUUUGGGUACAUCUUGUAUGAGAUCAAACAAUUACAGGAAAGAAAA